GGAAGGCCAUCUUGUGACUCACUCUCUCUCAUUCUCCCCACUCCGUGUGUGCGUAUGUGUGUCUGCCAUGACUUUCCUUAGAGAGAAAGCAUUCAGGAAAUGUCUGCAAACCACUCAAAUGGGCUCACCUGUUAGACCGGAAGCAUGGAUAAUCCCUGAAAAAUUAACACAAACAAGGACAAUUUAAGAAUGUGCAUAGGAAUUCACAUGAGUAACAUCAAGUUGCCAGUGAUCAUUUGGAUGAAGACCACAGAUAUUUCUGGAGCACUGCUGGGGAAUUCCUGCUUGGUUGAGUCUAUUAAGCUGUCAUUGGGCCUGAGAAUUGGAAUUCUAAGCUGACAGUGUAAGA